CUGAUGUUAGCGGCGGACGGGUGAGUAACACGUGGAUAACCUACCUAUAAGACUGGGAUAACUUCGGGAAACCGGAGCUAAUACCGGAUAAUAUUUUGAACCGCAUGGUUCAAAAGUGAAAGACGGUCUUGCUGUCACUUAUAGAUGGAUCCGCGCUGCAUUAGCUAGUUGGUAAGGUAACGGCUUACCAAGGCAACGAUGCAUAGCCGACCUGAGAGGGUGAUCGGCCACACUGGAACUGAGACACGGUCCAGACUCCUACGGGAGGCAGCAGUAGGGAAUCUUCCGCAAUGGGCGAAAGCCUGACGGAGCAACGCCGCGUGAGUGAUGAAGGUCUUCGGAUCGUAAAACUCUGUUAUUAGGGAAGAACAUAUGUGUAAGUAACUGUGCACAUCUUGACGGUACCUAAUCAGAAAGCCACGGCUAACUACGUGCCAGCAGCCGCGGUAAUACGUAGGUGGCAAGCGUUAUCCGGAAUUAUUGGGCGUAAAGCGCGCGUAGGCGGUUUUUUAAGUCUGAUGUGAAAGCCCACGGCUCAACCGUGGAGGGUCAUUGGAAACUGGAAAACUUGAGUGCAGAAGAGGAAAGUGGAAUUCCAUGUGUAGCGGUGAAAUGCGCAGAGAUAUGGAGGAACACCAGUGGCGAAGGCGACUUUCUGGUCUGUAACUGACGCUGAUGUGCGAAAGCGUGGGGAUCAAACAGGAUUAGAUACCCUGGUAGUCCACGCCGUAAACGAUGAGUGCUAAGUGUUAGGGGGUUUCCGCCCCUUAGUGCUGCAGCUAACGCAUUAAGCACUCCGCCUGGGGAGUACGACCGCAAGGUUGAAACUCAAAGGAAUUGACGGGGACCCGCACAAGCGGUGGAGCAUGUGGUUUAAUUCGAAGCAACGCGAAGAACCUUACCAAAUCUUGACAUCCUUUGACAACUCUAGAGAUAGAGCCUUCCCCUUCGGGGGACAAAGUGACAGGUGGUGCAUGGUUGUCGUCAGCUCGUGUCGUGAGAUGUUGGGUUAAGUCCCGCAACGAGCGCAACCCUUAAGCUUAGUUGCCAUCAUUAAGUUGGGCACUCUAAGUUGACUGCCGGUGACAAACCGGAGGAAGGUGGGGAUGACGUCAAAUCAUCAUGCCCCUUAUGAUUUGGGCUACACACGUGCUACAAUGGACAAUACAAAGGGCAGCGAAACCGCGAGGUCAAGCAAAUCCCAUAAAGUUGUUCUCAGUUCGGAUUGUAGUCUGCAACUCGACUACAUGAAGCUGGAAUCGCUAGUAAUCGUAGAUCAGCAUGCUACGGUGAAUACGUUCCCGGGUCUUGUACACACCGCCCGUCACACCACGAGAGUUUGUAACACCCGAAGCCGGUGGAGUAACCUUUUAGGAGCUAGCCGUCGAAGGUGGGACAAAUGAUUGGGGUGAAGUCGUAACAAGGUAGCCGUAUCGGAAGGUGCGGCUGGAUCAC
rnacentral:rRNA from 1 species